CCAAACAAACUUCAUUCUACUGCUUAAAACCAACAUAAUCUUUCUUGUGUUUCUCCAACAGCUUUAGAUUCCCCUUCCAAGUCAUGAACUUUUCCCAGCAUCUGGGUUGCUCAGGAGUUAUACUGUGGGGUACUAACACCUGAGCUGGCUGUGGGACUGAGGAACAGAAGCGAUUUCUGCACAUGCUGAUCCACAAAUUCUGGGCCAGACAGGACCUAGCGGCACGUUGCGUUAUGUGUUGAGCAAGCACAGCCCUUCUCCCAGGAGCUCCCAGUCUGAGGCAGGAGACGACAGAUGGCUGGAGGCAGAUGGGAGAGUACAAGGAAACAAUGAGGCAAAUGAGCAAAAACUACGUUGAAGACUUCAGCAUUUGGUUCCCAAAUUAUUAACUUUACUAAUCAUCUCAGC
ensembl:lncRNA